UUUGGUACCAAACAGUUCCAAUCAAAUCAUAGUGACAUCAUUCAGACUCAGAUGAAAAUCGGACGUCAAACACAAUCCAUCUUUGAGCCAUUUGUUGCAAUCUCACAAUAAAGUUUUACAAGAAUUAGAAAAAUGUUAAGUGUCAUAGGCUAUACAUAUCAUCUUCCAAAAUGAAAUAACCACUUUUAUUAUCUAUAAUAAUUGAAACACAGUUACAAUAUUCCCAAACUAGAGGGGAAUGUUACAUUUUGAACGGUUCUGAAGGAUAAAUACGUUUACAGUCGAUAAUAAUUUAAAUUCCUUUUUGUAUAUCUAUUCGACAAUACAUGUACAGUAUCAGGCUCCUUGUAUGAAUCCAGUUUACAAAACAAAAUUCUGGUUCACAUGAAAUGACCUGGGCAUAUUAUAUGUCCCCGGCAUCUUUUAUUUUCUGCAAUAACAGG
rnacentral:lncRNA from 1 species